rnacentral:snRNA from 1 species
GGAUGGGAGGGAGAGCUGGCUGAGACAUCUGUCAUUCCAUUCAUUGCCAGGGUUGGUUCAGCUGAGAUGGCUGGCUAGGGGGGUGUCCCCUUCCUCCCUCACCCCGCUAUGUGUGCCUCCCCUGAAGCUGUGCACUUGGUGGAAGAGGAUGACCUUCCCCACUAGAGGAGGACCGGUCUUUGGCCAAGGGCAUACAGGUAGCUGCACUCCCCUGCUAGAACCUCCAAACAAGCUCUCAAGGAAGAAUAUCAACAACAGAAGUUAAGUUCUGAGGAAGGAAAUUAGGGUAGUUAGGAACUUGGAAAUUCAUAAAAUGAGAACUAGAUGGAAAGGUUUAGCUU